rnacentral:rRNA from 1 species
GACGAACGCUGGCGGCAUGCCUAAUACAUGCAAGUCGAGCGGAGUGAAUUUGAAAGCUUGCUUUCAAAUUCACUUAGCGGCGGACGGGUGAGUAACACGUAGGCAACCUGCCCCUUAGACUGGGAUAACUACCGGAAACGGUAGCUAAUACCGGAUAAUUUCUUUCCUCUCCUGAGGGAAGAAUGAAAGACGGAGUAAUCUGUCACUGAGGGAUGGGCCUGCGGCGCAUUAGCUAGUUGGUGAGGUAACGGCUCACCAAGGCGACGAUGCGUAGCCGACCUGAGAGGGUGAACGGCCACACUGGGACUGAGACACGGCCCAGACUCCUACGGGUGGCAG